AGCUUCGUGAAAUGGUAAGUUUUUGAUUUAUUGCCUAUUGGUUCAUAAGUAAUUAACGUUUUCUUCAUUCCAGCAGAAGAAUAUAAAACUUUCGCCAGUAAGAUCUGGUGCAAUCGGCAUCCAUGAGCGACUAAAGGAAAAGGCAACUGGCAAUUUUUUGAGCAUCGGAUCAUCAACUAUGAUUUUGAUUACCAGAUUCCAGAUCAUCUAAUCACAGUCAAGGCUGCUCGAAUUGCGAAUUGCGAGGAUGAGAAUUGCAUUCCGAUGUUUUACAAGUUCGAAUGUCGAGGACGCUGUCCUUGCAAUUGCUGCCAUUAAGUAAUAAGAAUUGUGCAAAGUGUGAAAUGUAUUAAUAUGAAUAAAAAGUUUAUUUUAAUAAAAAUUAAUUUAAUCUAAA